ACGAGUUGGGAUCCCAGACUGAAGGGUACUUGCAUAAUAGAUCAGGAGUUUGGGAGCUUCUCCAGGUUUCUGUUGGUACCAGGCUAGGUAGUUGCCAUCGCUAUCACUGUACACUGCGCUGCUGACUUUACAGCUCAGAGCGACUGUGUCUCCUGGGAGAACAGAUUUCACUGCUGGAGUCUGAGUCACAGUAUACUGUCCA